rnacentral:misc_RNA from 1 species
UCAAACUUGGUCAUUUAGAGGAAGUAAAAGUCGUAACAAGGUUUCCGUAGGUGAACCUGCGGAAGGAUCAUUAACGAGUUAGGGUCUCCUAGGCCCGACCUCCCAACCCUUUGUUUAAUAGACCUCUGUUGCUUCGGCGGACCCGUCUCACUGACCGCCGGAGGACCGCCUAUCCGGCGUCCUCUGGCCAGUGUCCGCCGACAGCCUAUCUUCUUAACUCUGGAACAACCGUGACAUGUGUCUAAGUGAAUUUAUUCAAUUAAAAGCAAAAACUUUCAACAACGGAUCUCUUGGUUCUGGCAUCGAUGAAGAACGCAGC